CUGUUCAGAGCGCGCAGGCAGCUUGGAGUGAUGCAGUCCAACUUUUUGAAUUCAUAUUUAAAACGGCAAUAACCGUUUCCCAAAAUCUAUUUAAAGCUGCGCCAAAAAUUAGGAACCGGCAUUUUCCAAAAAGGGGUUUUUUUUUCUUGCAACGGUUAGACCGAAAUGGUACAUUGCUUCGUGCGACAGGUCGAAUUUAGAAAAUGACGAACACAUAAUUAGCUCUGUCAAUGUAGGCGGAAAUGGAAUACGUUGUUUAUAUUUUUUUUUAAAAAAAGUAGUUUUAAAAGAGACGCGUUUCAAAUAUCGAAGUGGAAAUAAAAUGUAGCUUUCUACAGAGUGCAGUGUGGACCGGACUUUUUAGUGAUGUUACAGUGCGGACAGGUUGCACCCUUUAAGCUCCUUCACACGUUUCCCAGCUGCCCAGUGACUAAGUGAAUUGCCAAAUAUUUAAAACAAAAUCUGAGGACCGGUCACUUCUCGCUGUUAUUUAGAAGCGGGGUCGUUGCAAGAACUCUGGUCAAUCAGGCGCAAUUGAAGAAAAUCGGUCAGCUGAGCAUCAGCCAUCACGACCACAUUUGAAGCAUAUGCAUAUACCCUAGGGAAAAUCAGUAAUAUGGAGGAAGAAACAAAAGGCGAAGAACAUCGCACAGAUAAAGUGGUAGAAGUGGUGGAAGCUUAAUGAGAGACAACCUGGGACAGGGCAGAGGUCCAACAUACUGAGUAUCCCUACUGAGAUGUAGAAGGUAACAUACUUCAGUGGACUCGCUUUUCCAUAAAGGCUGUCAGAUUUGAAACACUGCAUUAUGGAGUCACGUGUACCCUACACUGCCCUGGACGGUGGUCUGGGCAGAAUGGAAGAAUCCAACACCAUCUUUCAGGAAUGAUGUUAUGCAAUAAUAGUUGUAUGCAGUGCAGUCGCCCACUGACCAUGAGACAAGAUCGAUGUCAUUUGUUGCGGGUACGUUCCUAAUGCAAUCAUAGAAAUAGAGGCAUUUUUCAUGAGUAUUUUCACUGCUGCUCUGGAGGCUUUGUGUCCAGACGCCAAGGUAAAGUAUCUCAUCGGACAGCAGGCAACAAUUAGUAACAAAUUUUGCAACCUAGAUUUUUUUUUAUUAUUUAUUCGCAAGUUAAUGGGUACCAUGAGCAUAUGCUUUUCUACAGUGGCAGUGUGGAGAAGUUUGUUGGCACCUAUUAAUGAAAUUCUUAUAACAUCAUCUAGCCUGCACAAGUCACAGUAACCAUUGCUUCUAAAACUAUGGUAUAUAAAAUCAUUUGCAACGCCCAUUUUUCGGGUGCUAACUGGCCUACUAAUCCCCCCCAAAGAGUAGCCAGGAAAUCUGCCGUUUUAUUUGAAAAAUAAAACUAUAGGCAUUCUUUAUUCACACCCGAAGCAGGCGUUAGACCUAUUAUGUAUAAGGCGCCUAUUCCGGGCCCUCCCUGCAAACUUCGUUUGCCAUGAAAACCAGACCUUGGGAUCACCCGUGGAUCUAAGGUAAACUUACAUUUACUUAACAUGGAGCAGGAGAACUCCUUCUGACCCCACAUUUAACCGCUCCCCAAUUCUUCCCCCGCUGACCUCAUCUCCCGAUUUUGGACCCUUGACUUUCUCUCCCAACCCCCAAUCUGACUCCCUGAAUCAAUCUCUAACUGACCUUCGUGAUUUCCAGACCCAAUCCUGAUCCGCACUUUGACCUUGAACCCUGGGCCAGAUUCUGGACGCCUGUCCCAACCCUAACCUGAACCCUGGUCCGGAGCCUCAACCCACUUACUCCCGGACCACUGGAAUGCUAGUAAUGGUCUAAGCGCUGUUGAGCUUUGCCAGCUCCGUUAUAAUGAGGCCCGCAGCCAUUUGUCGGGAAGUCUGCGACCUUCCCUCCCCCCUUCAAGGGAACUUCGGGGAUGGGCAAUAAAAAUGCUUGCCUAGCCAGCGACGCCCACGACCCGUGAAAGAAUUUUAAAAAAAUCCCGCGGCGCCUCGCAUAUCCAAAAAAUGGGCAUGCUUGCAUUUCAAAGCCAGUGAGCUCAAAGCAAUUUAUAGAAGGAAACAAACACUAACAUAGCUACUUAAAAAAAAAUUUAGAAAGCAGGCCGUCUUGUAACUUGCAGCUUGACAGUUGGGUUGUCGGUUAUUCAGUAGUGCUUGGCUCCCAAAUCGGGGAGCAGUUAGUAGUAGGGAUAAGGAAAACCAACAUGGAGAAUCUUGCUACGCAUCAGGAACAGUGACAAGAGCAAAUAAUAAACAUACACAACACAAGCAAUGCAACCUAAAUUAUGUUAUAGAUUCAUUGCAGAGGAAGAAAGUCAGUCAUUCAAAAUGUAGUUGACUUUAAUUUAAACGUAAAACAGAGAUUCUUUCCCCUCUUUCGCAAAUCAAAUUUCAUGUUGUUGUAAAUGCAAGUUAUUGUUUCCAACUUUUGGGAGACAGCUCUAUGGAUAUGUGUAUUCAGGCAUGUACAGAGCUCUCUCCUAAACAGGAUGGUUAAAGUUUCAGUCAGGCAGGAGCCAAGCAAUGUAAACAGGGUUUGCUUGGCUGGAACCCAAGAUGCAGUUAUUCAGACCAAUAGCGACAGCACCUAAACUAUCUAUUAAUUGAUACAAAUGGUUGGAUAUUUAUAUAGUAUCUUCAUUAGAAUAUCAGAUUAUGAUGUUUUAUGUUAGCAUCCUGUGAUUAUAUUUUACAUUCUUAUGAUGUGUAAUAAUAGCAAAUAUCUGAACUGUGCCCAGAUGUAGUUACGACAAGUAAUUUUUGACUAGCAGCUGUCUUUCAUGUAAUAAUGCUAAUCUUAGUGAUUUACCAUAAAGACUCAUUUUGAAA